AGAGUUUGAUCAUGGCUCAGAAUCAACGCUGGCGGCGUGCCUCAGACAUGCAAGUCGAACGAUUAAAGCUCCCUUCGGGGAGUGCAUAAAGUGGCGCACGGGUGAGUAACACGUAAGUAAUCUACCUUCGAGUGGGGAAUAACCCGGGGAAACCCGAGCUAAUACCGCAUAACGCAGCGGCAUCGCAAGAUGACAGUUGUUAAAGGAGCAAUCCGCUUGAAGAGGAGCUUGCGGCAGAUUAGCUAGUUGGUAAGGUAACGGCUUACCAAGGCUACGAUCUGUAUCCGGUCUAAGAGGACGGUCGGACACACUGACACUGAAUAACGGGUCAGACUCCUACGGGAGGCAGCAGUCGGGAAUUUUGGGCAAUGGGGGAAACCCUGACCCAGCAACGCCGCGUGAAGGAUGAAGUAUUUCGGUAUGUAAACUUCGAAAGAAUGGGAAGAAUAAAUGACGGUACCAUUUAUAAGCUCCGGCUAACUACGUGCCAGCAGCCGCGGUAAUACGUAGGGAGCAAGCGUUGUUCGGAUUUACUGGGCGUAAAGGGCGCGUAGGCGGCGCGGUAAGUCACUUGUGAAAUCUCUGAGCUUAACUCAGAACGGCCAAGUGAUACUGCAGUGCUAGAGUGCAGAAAGGGCAAUCGGAAUUCUUGGUGUAGCGGUGAAAUGCGUAGAUAUCAAGAGGAACACCUGAGGCGAAGGCGGGUUGCUAGGCUGACACUGACGCUGAGGCGCGAAAGCCAGGGGAGCAAACGGGAUUAGAUACCCCGGUAGUCCUGGCCCUAAACGAUGAAUACUUGGUGUCUGGAGUUCUAAUACUCCGGGUGCCGUCGCUAACGUUUUUAGUAUUCCGCCUGGGGAGUACGCUCGCAAGAGUGAAACUCAAAGGAAUUGACGG
rnacentral:rRNA from 1 species